GCUGGAUUUUGAUAGGAACGUAAAGAUUCUUGCAAUCCUUACCAAUACUGGGGCUGAACAGUGCUGUGACUCUCUAUAAGUUUAGCAUAGGUAUGAUCUCAUCAAGUGUAUCAAUGCUGGUCCAGCGCAUAAGGUGUGGAAGCUCAAAGUACGUGUCAUUAGACUUUGGACCGUUUCUCAAUUUGCAAGAUCUGGGAUGAAGGCACCUAUUGAGAUGGUUGUCCUUGAUGAAGAGGGAGAUACAAUUCAAUGCACUGUAAAAGACAUAUUUGUUCCUAUCUUCGAGGGCUUACUCGCUGAGGGCAACGUGUACGUGGUCACUAAUUUUGGAGUUGCUUUGAAUACUAUCAAGUUCAAGCCUACUAGACACGAAUUUAGGAUCCAUUUCAAGAGGAACACGAUUGUGCGUCCGGUACAAGAUUCUUCAGUUCCAUUGAACGGAUUCAAUUUUGUUCCGUUCAAAACAAUUCAAUCAGAGUCUAAAGAAGAUGGUUAUUUAGUUGGUAAGUACUUUGUUAGAUUAAUCUAUGAUGCAUGUGUUGUUUAAUUCUUUGAAGUC